UAGGGAAUAUUGGACAAUGGGCGAAAGCCUGAUCCAGCCAUGCCGCGUGAGUGACGAAGGUCUUCGGAUUGUAAAACUCUUUUCUGAAGGAAGAACAAGCCCGGGAGGAAAUGCCCGGGCCCUGACGGUACUUCAGGAAUAAGGAACGGCUAACUCCGUGCCAGCAGCCGCGGUAAUACGGAGGUUCCUAGCGUUGUUCGGAAUUACUGGGCGUAAAGGGGGCGCAGGCGGAUAGGUCAGUGAAAAGUGGAAGCCCGGGGCUCAACCCCGGAAAGCCUUUUCAUACUGCCUAUCUUGAGUACGUGAGAGGAGAGCGGAAUUCAGGGUGUAGCGGUGAAAUGCUUAGAUAUCCUGAGGAACACCGAUGGCGAAAGCAGCUCUCUGGCACGCUACUGACGCUGAGGCCCGAAAGCGUGGGGAGCGAACGGGAUUAGAUACCCGCGUAGUCC
rnacentral:rRNA from 1 species